rnacentral:ribozyme from 1 species
UGCCUUCGCCGGUAAGACCCUCCAGGUGUCUACCCCGGUCCUGAAGGAUGCCAUCAAGACCC